rnacentral:lncRNA from 1 species
GUCCUCAAGCGUUGCCACUUUUCUGUAUGAGACAUGUGUCUUGGUGGACUAGGAUGUGUCUUGAGAGAUCAUGAUGCAAAUCCUAUGAAAGUCAUCCUUCUGCACCAUCCAAGAUAUGAGCAUCAUGCAUGCAAGAUGCAAAUUAUUCCUCAUUCGAGUAUGAGGAGAAUAUGACAGAUCUCUCAUUCGAGCAUGAGGAGAGCGCAUGACAGAUCUCUC